rnacentral:rRNA from 1 species
UGGACGCCAUGUGAUUAUAGGGACAGUCGGGGGCGUCAGUAUUCUUCGUCAAGGUGAAAUUCUUGGAUCCAGUGAACACUAACUACUGCGAAAGCAUUCGCCAAGGAUGUUUUCAUUAAUCAUGAACGAAAGUUAGGGGAUCGAAAACGAUCAGAUACCGUUGUAGUCUUAACCGUAAACUAUGCCGACUAGGGAUCGGGCGAUGUUCUUUCUUGACCCCCUCCGCACCCUACCCAAAAAUCAAAUUUUUGGGUUCCGGGGGGAAUAUGGGCCCCAGGGUUAAACUUAAAAAAAUUGACCGAAGGGCCCCCCCCGGGGUGGAACCCGGCGCUUAAUUUGACUCCACCCCGGGAAACCCCCCCAGGCCCAAAUCAACUAAGAUUGACCAAAUGAAAACUCUUUCCUGAUUUUGUGGGGGGGGGGGCCUGGCCCUUCCUAAUUGGGGGAGUGAACUGGCCGCCUAAUUGCCAUUACCAACCAAACCCUUACUUGCUUAAUUACCCGGCCCGCCCAUGCUUGUCGCCCGCUUCCUAGAAGAACCAACCACUCAAGCUGAUGAAAUUUGAAGGCAUAACCAGGCUGUUAUUGCCCUAAAGGUCUGGGCCGCAAGCCCGCUUCACUGACAGAACCCGCGAGAUCUCUUCGUCGUCAGAGAGUGGAUCAUGUGAUCUCUGCCGUGCUGCUGAUAUGAUUGCUAUAAUAA